GCCGAUUCUCGUACGAUCAUCGAAGUUAAGCAACGUCGAGACUGAUCAGUACUUAGAUGGGUGACCACUUGGAAUUAUCAGGUGUUGUAAG